rnacentral:rRNA from 1 species
AUAUCAGUCAUGCAUAGCAUAUCAAUAAGCGGAGGAAAAGAAACUAACAAGGAUUCCCUUAGUAACGGCGAGUGAAGCGGGAAGAGCUCAAAUUUGAAAUCUUCAAGGUUUUACCUUGACGAAUUGUAGUUUAAAGAAGUGUUUUCUGUUGAAGUUUUGGUAAAAGUUCUUUGGAAUAGGACAUCAUAGAGGGUGAGAAUCCCGUAUUUGAUCCAUUACUUUCAGCUUUGUGAUACACUUUCGAAGAGUCGGAUUGUUUGGGAAUGCAGUCCAAAAUGGGUGGUAAAUUUCAUCUAAAGCUAAAUAUUGGCGAGAGACCGAUAGCGAACAAGUACCGUGAGGGAAAGAUGAAAAGAACUUUGAAAAGAGAGUUAAACAGUACGUGAAAUUGUCAAAAGGGAAGCGUUUGACACCAGUGUUGUUUUCUCGAAAAUCAAUUAAAAAGAGUUGGAUUUUGUGUUGUAUUGACUUUAUCGGCUUUCUUCACUCUUUUCCAGCUUUUUUUAAUGCACUUUUCGUUUAACAAGUCAACAUCAGUUUCUUUUGUUGUAAAAAGGUCAUUGGAAGGUAGGCUUUCUCUUCGGAGAAAGUGUUUAUAGCCUUUGACUCAUGCAAUCGGAGAGACUGAGGUCUGCAGCGUAGAUCCUUCGGGGUUAGAUACAUUUGUGCUAAGUUAUAGCUUUUCAUAGACAACUUGUUGACUAUGUUUAGUCUUGUAGCUUACUCGCUUAUGCUAUUUUACCUACGCUUAGGAUGUUGAACUCUAUCACACACAG